rnacentral:rRNA from 1 species
AGAGUUUGAUCAUGGCUCAGAACGAACGCUGGCGGCGUGCCUAACACAUGCAAGUCGAACGAGAAAGGGGCUUCGGCCCUGAGUAAAGUGGCGCACGGGUGAGUAACGCGUGGGUAAUCUGCCCUUGGGCGGGGGAUAACAUUCCGAAAAGGAGUGCUAAUACCGCAUAAGACCACGGUCCUGAGGGAGCGUGGGAAAAGAUGGGGAUCUUCGGACCUGUCACCUGAGGAUGAGCCCGCGUACCAUUAGGUAGUUGGUGAGGUAACGGCUCACCAAGCCGAAGAUGGUUAGCUGGUCUGAGAGGAUGAUCAGCCACACUGGGACUGAGACACGGCCCAGACUCCUACGGGAGGCAGCAGUGGGGAAUAUUGCGCAAUGGGGGCAACCCUGACGCAGCAACGCCGCGUGUGUGAUGAAGGCCUUCGGGUCGUAAAGCACUGUCGAGUAGAACGAGCCGCCGAGGGUGAAUAUCCUUCGGCCCGACGGUACUACUUGAGGAAGCACCGGCUAACUCCGUGCCAGCAGCCGCGGUAAUACGGAGGGUGCAAGCGUUGUUCGGAAUUAUUGGGCGUAAAGCGCGUGUAGGCGGACUGCUAAGUCUGGUGUGAAAUCCCUCGGCUCAACUGAGGACGUGCAUUGGAUACUGGCAGCUUGAAUCCUGGAGAGGAGCGGAAUUCCCAGUGUAGAGGUGAAAUUCGUAGAUAUUGGGAGGAACACCAGUGGCGAAGGCGGCUACCUGGACAGUGAUUGACGCUGAGACGCGAAAGCACGGGUAGCAAACAGGAUUAGAUACCCUAGUAGUCC